GGGUUCCACUCUGGGACGUGGCUGGGGACAGUCAGGGAUGCUCAGCAGCUCCUUGGACCACGGGGUACGAGCUACGGUACUGGGAUCCCCAGGAGGGCCUGCAGCCUGCUCACACGACGUGCAGAAGCUGGGCUUGAACCCUGAUCCUGGGUAACAGCUCCAAGGAGAAAAUUUAACAUGAUUUUACCCAAGGGUCAUUGUGCAUGGGGCACAAUCCAGCAGGAAAUUCUUCUCCCUGUGGUUCAGCUACUCGUUUGCGGUGGACAGCUUUGGAUCUGUUUUCCUCACCCCCUCUGGCAGCUGUUUUGGUGACAUGCACCCGGCAGGUGGAGCACACUGGAUUGCUGCACCACAGGAUCAGUAGAAGCCUCGGCCCUUCCCUGCCACUGCUGCCCUGCUCUGCACCCCACCUGUCCUGA
rnacentral:lncRNA from 1 species